GCUGGGCACGGUGGUGCACGCCUGUAAUCCCAGCAGCUUGGGAGGCUCAGCAGGAGGAUCACGGGUUCAAAGCCAGCCUCAGCAACAUUGCGACACUAAGAAACUCAGUGAGACCCUGUCU
rnacentral:sRNA from 1 species